GUCGCACUCCUCGCACAUCUCAAAAAAGCAUUGCCAGUCGCGGUCGCAGAUUUCCACGCUGAACUCCAAGUCCUCCAUUUAAACUUGGGGCACUCAGUGCAACCUGAAAAUUGAGAUUUAAGGUGUAACAAUUUAACAGCACUAUAAAAAACAUUAACGGCAAUAGAAUGACAGUCAGCACAUUGGCAUUUUAAACAAGAUUUCGAAGAAUUGUGAAAGUAUAUUAAUAGGGAAUCUUGGUGGCAAUUAAAAGACAAUCCACCCAUCCGUUUUCUCUACCGCUGGUCUGCCUGAGAGAAUGGUCGAUUUAAAUUUCUUAUCUUGCAACAACUACAUCACAUCAUGCAAUGCGACAUGGAGAACAAUGAUUGCAUCCACCAAAAUGAAGAGCGCCAAUGAAAAUAAGUGUUGCAGCCAGUGUAGGUCAAGUCUCCCUUAGAAAAGAGAUCUUUGCUUUCAUUGGGUCGAACCUGGUUAAUUAAAAGCAUAAUAAAUAAAGUAUAUGUGCCUGCUUCCUACCUGACUUGCUAGGAUCCUUGGGAGGUUCUGAAGGUCCGCAGGUCUGCAGUUUGUACGGCACCAUGUUGCACUUCUUGAGGUGGGCGUCCUUUUUUUUUGCACCCGUCACAACAAGCCUCAUGAUUUGAUAAAUAUAGAGCCAUGCUUCUGAUCAUGUUAUGCGCGACAUGCCUGCAUCUCCAACAGAGCCGUAGCAUCUAUUUAAAGUAACAUUUCACAACUUUAAACUGAUGUUUGGUUGAAACCACAUUCAAGCGGUGAGCAUGCAACUUUGAACAGCAAAAGAGCAGGCAAAUUCUGGAAAAUCACACGGACUUGCCUUCGAGCGACAGGGAAGCGAAAGAGCGACCCACGCGAUGAGCAGGUUCUAGUGUGCAUCCAUAACAGAAAGCGGCCGGUGCGGUGGCAAGCCCCUCCCUGAGGCAGCACUGGUUCCCAGGUGGGAGAGAGCAGACAAGGGAGGAGAGUUCUCACCACGCUCCCUAACCGUUCUCACAGCACUUGAUUGGUGGAACAUUGCGUCAUGGCUGAAACGCGACACUGUUGCAGCCGUCUAGGCAGGGCCCACUCUCACCCCGCAAUGAAUAUAUGGGCCAGGGAAUCGUCCCACACAAUGCCCACAGCUGAUGCGGUUGCCACAGAGACACGCCCACACAAAGGUUUGGAAUGAUGACAUAUGGUCUGAACCUGCCCAGUCGCUGGACCCCCAAAAGGCUGACUGCAUUGAUUGACAAAGGCCCACGUUAGCCAUUUAUCUGUGCCUACUCACUUCAUGGUAAGAUAAACUUUUUUAUCAAGUUUCCAUUGCCCUGCACAAGAAGUAAAGGGCGGGUGAAAAAGCCGCUGUGUAAAGUGGGAGAAUUCAUCAUGAAGUCAUUAACAAAGGCUUUCUUUCCACCUGCUUUUACAUUCAUAUGCACAUCAGUGUCAUGUUUAAAAUAAAGAGUACAAGGAAGAAGAGCUUUUAUUUGCAAUGAUGCUAAUCCACCACAUUCCAUCUUGUGAAUUGUUUGAUGUGCUGGGUUGGAAGCGUGGAAAAGAAGGAAUGCAUCCCAAAUUCCCAGAAGCGGGUGGAAAAAGCACUCCUGAUGAAACAUUCUGAGGCCCAAUUAAUAUUAUUUCUUUUAGGUUCGGCCACACACACACACACACACACACACACGCACACACACACACACGCACACACACACACACACACACACACAACUGUGUAUGACUAGUAGUGGAUAAACGAACAUUUUUAGAAAAGAUAAGGCAUGUGACUCUGCAGGAAGUGAACUGUAUUGUAUGCACUUCUCUUCUGCCCCAAGCACUAUUAGAAGUAUUGACCUAAUUUCUAAUAAUUGUUCCAUGAAAUUGCCUUAGUUUAUUCCUAACAGUUUUUUUGUCUUCAUUUGCUUUGCUUUUUUGUUGACUGGGCUACUUUCAGUACUGUAUGUGGAUGUUAGCUUUUUGGGCCAAUCAGAUUUUAUCCUCUUUGUGUUGCCGUGACAAUCUAAUCUAGAACAAAAACCUAAUAUUUGUAAUGGGAGCCUUUUUGUUACUUUGAACAAACAGAUUUUAAAUAAUUCAUCUUGGUUUUUCUGGCCACUUGGUCAGAGCAGGCCAAUUUGGUCUAGCAAAACACAUCAGUUACAAUUUGCACUCUUCUUUUUAUCAUCAGCAUAGUUUGUGAAUAGGAUGUAUUGUGUUUAUGUAUUUAGUAAGUUUUUUUAUUUUAAAUAUAACAUAAAUGGUGAUGUAUGUGAUGAUGAUGAUGGUGAUGUUUAUGGCAGUUGUGUCACAGUGCGUCACAGUGAGUCUUGAUGGUUUCCAAAAUGAGCACAUUAAAGACCUUGCAAUUAUCAGUAUGAAGAAAAAAAAAUGCAGGUAGUUAGCACAGAAAUGUAAUUGUUGGAGUGUAAAUCCCUCUGGGCCAGAGAGGGUCUGAUUCUAUUAGUAAGUUAAGUUGUUUGUGAAAAAGACAUUCAAGAGUUGACCUGCUUCAUGGCUCACCACUAAGCUAUGUGGUGAUGUCAUGCUGCCUUUGUAUGCCGAGAAGGAUGCACCAUAUGGGAGGCAGAAAUUGUGACUUAAGCAUCAACGUGUGCCCAAUGUUGUGACUAGUCAGUGUAUAAGAUACAAAACAAUAACUUAACAAGCUAACAGCUUACAGACCAAGCCAAUAAAAACAAAAUCGGGACCAGUUUUGGGUUCUGACCCUAAUUUUUGAAAACUAAAUGUUAUAUUUGGGGAAUACACACGCUAACACUGACAUUGUUGGACAGAGCAAACAUAACAAAAGGUACCGGGUAGUGAGUGUCAUGUGACGUCAGCAAAGGUGACAGAGUGGGAGUGAUCCGGAAGAAGACUUUACUGAUUAUUUGAUCCAGAGGUGACAGGCCCUUCUGCAUAUGACCUGUCAUCUCACCCCGGUCACCCGGCCGCCCGUCCGAUGCAUGGACGCCUCCAUUGAUGCUGUCAGGGGGAGGGACCCAAGGAGACUAUUUUCUUGAGAGGUCAGAAACCCCCAGGUGGCUUGCUGAAGCUCCCUGAAACACUUGAGGGAGCGACACUCCAUGUAGAUCUGUCUUAAACGACCCCACUGGAGCUGUCAAACCGGAAACGCGCCGUGAAAUUUGAGAUACGCGCCUAGCGUCCAUCUCAAUUAAGCACGCUGUGAGUAUGACAUAUGAAUCUUAUUUCAACAAAACCCGCCUUUCAUAUUACCGAAUGGCUACCCGACAUGCGUGCAUCAUCUGGGACCAUGUGACCCGACACGUGUGCCGCAGCAAUACAUAGAGCUCCCUUGAAUUCACACACAGAUUUAAAAAUAGCCACGAAAGAGGAAAUCCCCUCAACUGCAAUGGACCUGCACUACAAAGACGCUGGAACAAUGAGGCUCUCGCAACUAGGAAUCCUCCCAGACAAUAUAGGAAGACUGAAGCAUCAGAGAGUUGUUUUUCCCGUACAGACUGUUGUGUCUAGAGGUGGAAACCUCUGACCACCACCGCUGACUUAUGGCAACAGGCCACGAAUGAAAGGAUGCACUGAAUUGUGGAAUAAACACAUCGGUUUGCAUCUGCUUACAGCUGCAGAAGCCAAAGAUUUGUUGUUCCAAUGCUCACUAAUACACUUGGGCUUCAUGAACAGCUGACGACGGCGGUCACGUCCUUCCUGGACUCGAAUGAGCUUUAAAUGACUUCACAAGACAUCUCAGCUAAAAGCUUGAUGGGCGCCCACACUGUCCGGUCCAAAGGAUGAAGAUAAUGCUACAAGCAAUUAAUUUGCAAUCAGCUUUGUGUGUGAAGAGUUGUGAUGUCAAGAAAGGCAUUCCAGCAUGGGCUGUACACAACUUUGGAAUGCGAUUAUUUUGGUGUUUUCUGGUGAUUGUAUGUAUUCAAAUUGGUUCAAGUUUACCCAUAGAUUAUUAGUGUCUGGGGUUUGAAUAAGAAUCUAAUUGGUUAUAAACAUAGCCACUGUCCAAAAGUCCAGCAGCAGUUUUUGAGUUCUUCAAUGUCUAUUGUUUAGCUAUUUUACACCAAGGCCUAUGCAAUAAUAAUAACAAUAAUAAUAUAUUUUCCAGUUUAUAAAACCCUUGCUCACACGUAUAUUUUUUUCUUAUUUAUAUUAUUGAGAUCAUUACUGUAUUGCACAAUUUUACAUUUGGUCUAUUUGGUUGUCAUAUUUAUGCACCUGCAAGGUAACCAAAUUUUGUUGUCAUGAAAAUUAUAAUGACAAUAAAAGCAAUUCUGAUGUCUACAAAAACAAUAAUACACCCAAAGGAGAAGAGAAAGCCGCUUUGAUUUUUUUGAUUUUCUUGAUCGAUUAAUUCACACGGAUUCAUUAAAGCCUUGUGGUGCAUUCUGCCCGGUAGUGCUAUUCCAAGCUACUCUUGAAGCUUGGAAUGUGAAAGUUUGCACUAAAGGAGGAACCAAUAAGCCAACACCUUCCUCUUGAUUGACAACCUUACAAAGGCAAUGGGGCAGAGUGAUUUGUCAAUGGGUAUAAAUCAACACAAAGAGGUAUUGAUUGGCAGCCAAGAAAAGAGCGCGGGACAAAGAGUGCGGCUGUGGGGUCUUGGCCGAGUAAUCAAUACUGUGAGUUCUGCACGGGGGAGCCAUCCCACUUUGUGUUGAUACAGUCAGAGGCGCAGCAAAGAUCAGCUAUUGUACAGAUGAACUGGGGCUGUCAGUCAGCGCACGGCCGCACGGCAGGGGAGCGUGACCCUGUACGCUCCGCACAAAUAUACAAACGUUAACCGUGACGCACACAUCAGGCGUUCCCAGACGCAUUCACGGAUGACAGAGCCAGGCUGGAAUGAUUGUCGACAGCAGACUUUGUACCAGGAAGCGAUCAGAUUCAUAUAGUGGUGGAAGGAUUUGUGCUGCAAGUGCACAAAUGAAUUGUUGUUGAAAUUGUAGUCCCGCUUGUAGUGGUAAUGGUGUAUGCUGUUUUCCAACAUAUAUAUUCUGCCUUUGAGGUUUUCUUUAAAAUCCACUUGUGAAUAGUUGCUUGUUUGCAAAUACAUAAUUUAUUAUCUAUUACCAGGUACUGUAUUUGUUUAAAUCACAAUAAAACUUUUUCUACAUCGAAAAGCUUUACUUGUGAAUUAAUUUUGACUUUUAUCACAAAACAAAUAUACAGAAUUCUAAAAUGUGAUAUUGACUAAUAUAUUAAAUGAAGAACACAACAAUGCCUAAACAAUUGCAAAAAAUGCUAGUGGGACAAAUAUGAGUGUGAGUGCAGGAGUGAGUCAUUGAU